UACGUAGGUGGCGAGCGUUGUCCGGAUUUACUGGGCGUAAAGAGCGCGCAGGCGGUCGUAUAAGUCGCGUGUGAAAGCCCCCGGCUCAACUGGGGAGGGUCACGCGAUACUGUUCGACUUGAAGGCAGGAGAGGGAAGCGGAAUUCCCGGUGUAGUGGUGAAAUGCGUAGAUAUCGGGAGGAACACCAGUGGCGAAGGCGGCUUCCUGGCCUGUUCUUGACGCUGAGGAGCGAAAGCGUGGGGAGCGAACAGG
rnacentral:rRNA from 1 species